GACGAACGCUGGCGGCGUGCUUAACACAUGCAAGUCGAACGCUGAAGACCUGGCUUUUGUUGGGUUGGAUGAGUGGCGAACGGGUGAGUAACACGUGAGUAACCUGCCCUCUUCUUUGGGAUAACGCCCGGAAACGGGUGCUAAUACUGGAUAUUCACUGAUCUUCGCAUGGGGGUUGGUGGAAAGGUUUGUUCUGGUGGGGGAUGGGCUCGCGGCCUAUCAGCUUGUUGGUGGGGUGAUGGCCUACCAAGGCUUUGACGGGUAGCCGGCCUGAGAGGGUGACCGGUCACAUUGGGACUGAGAUACGGCCCAGACUCCUACGGGAGGCAGCAGUGGGGAAUAUUGCACAAUGGGCGAAAGCCUGAUGCAGCGACGCCGCGUGAGGGAUGGAGGCCUUCGGGGUGUAAACCUCUUUCGCUCAUGGUCAAGCCGCAACUGUGGGUUGUGGUGAGGGUAGUGGGUAAAGAAGCGCCGGCUAACUACGUG
rnacentral:rRNA from 1 species